UACAGAGGCCCCAAGCGUUACUGAGAAUCACUGGGUUUAAAGGGUGCGUAGGUGGCGCGUUAAGUCCGUUAUGAAAUCCCUGGGCUCAACCCAGGAAUUGCUUCGGAUACUGGCGUGCUUGAGGCCGGUAGGGGUCACUGGAACUGACGGUGGAGCGGUGAAAUGCGUAGAUAUCGUCAGGAACGCCGAUGGUGAAGACAGGUGACUGGGCCGGAACUGACACUGAGGCACGAAAGCGUGGGGAGCGAACGGG
rnacentral:rRNA from 1 species